rnacentral:rRNA from 1 species
UACGUAGGGUGCGAGCGUUUGUCCGGAAUUACUGGGCGUAAAGGGCGCGUAGGCGGCCUGCUAAGUCGAACGUGGAAAUCCCCUGGGCUCAACCCAGGAACUGCGUCCGAUACUGGUUGGCUUGAAUCCGGGAGGGGGAUGUGGAAUUCCAGGUGUAGCGGUGAAAUGCGUAGAUAUCUGGAGGAACACCGGUGGCGAAGGCGACAUCCUGGGACCGGUAUUGACGCUGAGGCGCGAAAGCCAGGGGAGCAAACGGGG